AUUUAAAUAGUUUAAAGAAAAUAUUGAUUUGUGGAAUCAAAGAUGUAGGUUUACUUUAAAUU
rnacentral:tRNA from 1 species